rnacentral:misc_RNA from 1 species
CAUUAUCGAGAGACGGGGUUUGUCCGACCCCCACUCUUCACCCAUGAUAACCUACCAUUGUUGCUUUGGCGGGCCAUCGAGCCUUUGCACCCGACGUCGCCGGGAGGACUACCUCUCGUGCGCCGAGCGCCCGCCGAAGGCUCUCCAAAAAUGCUUUUAAGAGUCGUCCGAGUCCCCCAACAAUCAAUUAAAACUUUCAACAACGGAUCUCUUGGUUCUGGCAUCGAUGAAGAACGCAGCGAAAUGCGAUAAGUAAUGCGAAUUGCAGAAUUCAGUGAAUCAUCGAAUCUUUGAACGCACAUUGCGCCCCUUGGUACCCCGAGGGGCAUGCCUGUCCGAGCGUCAUUACGCCUCUCAAGCACUGCUUGGUACUGGGCCUCGCCUGCGAGGCGUGCCCGAAAUUCAGUGGCGGUCCCUUCAGACAUCAAGCGUAGUAGGAUCUUGCAUCUCGCUUGAGCUGGUUCUUGGCUGGACCUGCCAACAAAAUGUUUGCUCCUUAACAAAUUGACCUCGGAUCAGGUAGGGAUACCCGCUGAACUUAAGCAUAUCAAUAAGCGGAGGAAAAGAAACCAAACCGGGAUUGCCCCAGUAACGGCGAG